rnacentral:rRNA from 1 species
CAGUCGCCACGGGAAUACGAAGGGUGCAAGCGUUACUCGGAAUUACUGGGCGUAAAGCGUGUGUAGGUGGUUGUUUAAGUCUGUCGUGAAAGCCCUGGGCUCAACCUGGGAAUUGCGAUGGAUACUGGGCGACUAGAGUGCGGUAGAGGAUAGUGGAAUUUCCGGUGUAGCGGUGAAAUGCGUAGAGAUGUGGAGGAACACCAGUGGCGAAGGCGACUCUCUGGUCUGUAACUGACGCUGAGGAGCGAAAGCGUGGGGAGCGAACAGGAUUAGAGACCCCGGUAGUCCCUGUCUCUUAUAC